ACUCCUCCCCAGUGCAGAGUUCUGAGAUCUCUCUUCCUGCGGUCAGCCUUGUUUGACAGACAACAUUGGCGCAUUGUUUCACACAUUUAUAAAGACAAUUAUCCCGUAGAUACCGAUCAUUCAGAGGCAUACAAUUUUGCACAUUAUUUUCGGGAACAAGCGCUGGAGAGGCAUCGUCUAGAAUGGGGAACAGAGACGAUGAAUACGAUUUCUUGUUCAAAGUUGUGCUAAUUGGGGACUCUGGUGUCGGGAAGAGUAACUUGCUCUCUCGGUUCACACGGAAUGAGUUCAACCUUGAGAGUAAGAGCACCAUCGGGGUGGAGUUUGCCACCCGCAGCAUCCAGGUGGAUGGGAAGACGAUAAAGGCCCAGAUAUGGGACACGGCUGGACAGGAACGUUACAGAGCCAUCACCUCCGCCUAUUACAGAGGGGCAGUGGGUGCUCUCCUAGUGUAUGACAUCGCCAAGCACCUGACCUAUGAAAACGUGGAGCGCUGGUUGAAGGAACUGAGGGAUCAUGCAGACAACAACAUCGUCAUCAUGCUGGUGGGCAACAAGAGCGACCUGCGCCACCUCAGGGCCGUGCCCAUGGAUGAGGCCCGGGCUUUUGCAGAGAAGAACACUCUAUCCUUUAUUGAAACUUCAGCUUUAGAUUCAACAAAUGUAGAGGAAGCUUUCAAGAAUAUCCUUACAGAAAUCUAUCGCAUCGUAUCGCAGAAGCAAAUCGCUGAGCGGUCCGCCCAUGACGAGUCCCCUGGAAACAAUGUGGUGGACAUAAGUGUUCCGCCCACCACGGACCAGAAAGGGAACAAACUGCAGUGCUGUCAGAACCUGUAACCCAUGAUGACGCUUACCUUCCCCUUUCUGUCAUCUCAAUGUUGUGGCGCAAACAUUCUUCAUUUUGUGCCAGUGUUCAUAAUCCAGCGAUGACAUCAGUGACACUUCAUUCCACGAGUCCAACACGUCCCAAAACCACUGGUUAUAGUUAAUAUCUGGGCUCAAGUGUUUCAAAUAAUAGAGAUUAUGGAGAAAUAAUCCCCAGAAUGGUCCACAAGUGCAGAAGUUCAAGAUAUAUUACACUUUUUUAAGUGAGACCACAGCGCUCAUACGAUGGUCUCGUCAGUUAUUUUCUUGGUCGACUUGGUCGGGACGGAAUGUUGAGUAGAGUGCGCUCCUUUAAUUUCAGGCAUGAGCAGGCGCACUUUCUGAUUGGUCCUCCUCCACUCCGAGUAUAACUGACAGUGAUAGCGGAACGAUACCUGAGGUGUACGGAGACAGAUGUCAACAAAACCAUCAGACGGUUUCAUAUGCACUGCAGAUUCAUUAAAUAUACCGUUGCUAUCGCAGGCACGCAAAAUACAAAGUUAGACAGAUUGCAUGACAAAUUUGUAUUUGGUCUGCAUUUGAUGAUUGUGUAACUAUUGUAAGCUUUUUUUCAGAGUACAAACAAACAAUUCUUGUUGCAGACAAAAAAUAUUUGUUGGCACAUUACUUGUCUCCCCUGAAUAUAAAAUGGGAAGGGCACAAAAUACCAUAGACAAGAAAACAAAACAAACGAUGCGCCACAAAUGUCUAAUUUGUCUCACAAUUGUAAUAAUCGCAAUUGUAAAGCACACAUUUACACUGCAAAAAUAUGCUGUCAAUUAACAAAGGUGGAGUAAAGUAAUCCAUGGUAAUGGUGA